GAAGCCUCGGGUAUCAGAGGACCAUCACUAUCUCUGGCUGCUGUUGACCUUGUUUUUGGAGUAAAACACGAUGUUCAGAGGGAGAUGAUGCCACAUCUGGUCCAGCUGAUGGAAGGUCUUGAAGUUCUCUGACUGGCCUCGACUGAAGAUGGUCGUCUCACUGGAUUUAAGGUUCAGAUGCUCAGUAACAAACUCCACCAAUGAGCCAACAGGGAAGCUUUAGGUUUAUUAAAUGUUACUAUGAAGGUUUCGCUGUUUUUCUUUGUGAAUGCAAUGUGCUCCAACUGAAACUUGAAUUAGAACUUAGAAGUAAAUCCUUCCAUCUGAAAGAAUUAGUUGCAUUAAUAACCUCAUAACAUUCUAAUUUUUAUUCCAGUCUUGGUUGGAAAUAGAAUCUCUGUAGUGAUUCAGGUAAAAACUGAACUUCACAGCAUGUUGGAGCAAAACAACCAGAUGAAAACUGUGAUGGUGUUGGAUUGUCAGACCGUAAUGUUGCAGCUCAAAGCAGCUUUUCUAUCUCAGUUCAUUCUGACAUUCAGCUAUGAAUCAACACAGCAGAUGGUGAUCCAUGCUGUGGAAGUCUCACAUCUCCUGAUUUAAUGGAGCUGCUUUGCACUUUUUACACUGUUUAUUCACCAACACUUUAUUUAAUAAAAGUCCCAUCGAGUUUUUAUGAGGAAUGUGAUGUUUUAAUUUCUCUGUGAAUAACUGCAGUCUAAUGCAACAGCUGGAGUUGUAACAUCUGUCCUGAUAUUGAUCAUGAAGUAUUGAUCAGAAUACUUAUGGUCAGCAGUCAUCCCUGAAGUUUUACAUUAAAAUCUUUACUUGUGUUGUGAACUUUGGUAAGAAGCAGAAACGUUAGCAUUGCCAUGGAUACAUGAGUGUUAAAUUCUGUCCAUGUUUCAUUUUGGGAAAUGCAGUCCAGUUCCAGAAUGUGGAGGAAUUUAGUCUCACAAUCACAGACAACAAAUAUUAUCUGAAAGUCGGGUUAUUGUUGUUUAUCAGCACAAUACAAAAAGAUUAAUGUUAGAAAUAUUCCAGUUAAGACUCUAGAAUAUCAUGAUUUAUGUAAAUUUACCUCAAUAAUAUGAAUGUUCAGGUUAAGAUUGUGCAGUGAUAUUUAUAAUGUAAGUUUAGCUGAUUAAAGUUUAUGACUCUGCACUAAAAUAUUAUUUAAAUUGACAUCAUUAUUAUAAUAUUUAGGGUCAGACCCUACAGUAUUGAGAUUAAGAAAUCAAAUAUUCUAUAAAAUGUAAAUACACUGAACUCAUUUGGAUAUAUUUAAGUGAGACUCUACAAUAUUAUUUGACAAAUCUAUCUAAAUCAAAAUUUUAAUCAUUUUUACUCGAAACAUUUACUGAUCUGAUUUAAAUAUUAAAAUCACUCCUUUCUAAUCCUCUGCUGUACAUUCAAACCUGAGGCCUUAAAUAGAAACACACAAGUAUCUGAUUGAAGGAACUUCUGCAGAGUCCUGGUUCCAGAACAUGAUGAUAGAAUUAUAGACAAACUUUAACAAAAGCUGCCUGAGAGUUUACAGGUUUUUAUGUUGGAUUUCUUCAGUAAUUUAAUGAGAGUUAUCGGCAAAAAUCAAGUGUUCAUUUGAUGAACUUCAUUUCCUGAAACAUCCAGAAUUGGAGCUCAUAUCUUUGGCAGCUGUAAAGUUUCUGCUCCUUCAAAGUUCACAACACAAUGAAUUAAUUCCUAAAACCCUCUCAAUGCUGGAGAGCGUUUGUGACGCUGAAGCAGUGAUCAGUUUUUCUGUUUCUUCUCUGGAGCUGCACAAUGAGGGACGUCUGCAGCGACUGAGAAAGAGUCUCACCACAUCCUGACAUGAGGAAAAAGACUUUAUUGAAGACUAUAAUGAGGAAAACUAUCAGACAGCAGAUGGCUGCAUUCAAGUUUUGAACUGUUUUGUUGUCUGGGAGUGGGUGCUCUGUGUUUGUGUGCAUCUUUGUCUCGUCCUUGUUUUCUGUGUAAGUGGUCUGUUUCGUCCUGUUGGUUUGUAG
ensembl:lncRNA